rnacentral:tRNA from 1 species
AGCCCUGUAGUGAAUGACACGUCAAAUUGCAAAUUUGAAGACGCUACCUUUAUAUUUGG